GGGAAUUCGAGGUUGGAAGAGUUUAAAUGAGCUUAAUUUGGCAAACAAUAAGCUAUCUGGUCCCAUCCCUGAUGAAAUUGGGAACUUGCCAGUGCUUAAUUACCUUGAUCUUUCUGGGAAUCACUUUUCUGGGAAAAUCCCACUUGAAUUGCAAACACUGAAGCUCAAUUUGUUGAACUUGUCAAAUAAUAUGCUUUCUGGAGAGCUCCCUCCUCUUUUUGCAAAGGAGAUUUAUAAGAAUAGCUUCGUGGGAAAUCCAGGAUUGUGUGGUGACUUGGAGGGCCUUUGUCCUGAGAUGGGUGAGUCUAAGAAGAUGAGCUUCUUGUGGCUUCUCAGAUCGAUUUUUAUACUUGCUGGUUUAGUUUUUGUUGUUGGAGUUGUUUGGUUCUACUUCAGGUACCGGAAUUAUAAGAAAGGCAAGAAAGGGAUUACUAUAUCCAAGUGGAGGUCUUUCCAUAAGCUUGGAUUCAGUGAAUUUGAGAUUGCUGAUUCCCUUAAGGAAGAUAAUGUGAUUGGAAGUGGAGCUUCUGGGAAAGUAUACAAGGUCGUGCUUAGUAAUGGUGAGACAGUGGCGGUAAAGAAACUAAGUGGAGGGAGCAGGAAAGAGGAUGCUAGUGCCAACUACGACAAAGAUGAAUUCGAAGUGGAGGUCGAAACUUUGGGCAAGAUCAGGCACAAGAAUAUUGUGAGAUUGUGGUGUUGCUGCAACAAUGGGGACUGCAAGCUUCUGGUUUACGAGUAUAUGCCAAAUGGGAGCUUGGGUGACUUGUUGCAUAGUAGCAAGGGAGGCCCGUUGGAUUGGCCAACAAGGUACAAGAUAGCUUUAGAUGCAGCAGAGGGCUUAUCUUACUUGCAUCACGAUUGUGUUCCUCCAAUCGUUCAUCGGGAUGUGAAAUCGAACAACAUAUUGUUAGAUGGAGAGUUUGGUGCUAGAGUUGCAGAUUUUGGAGUUGCUAAAGUUGUCCAAGGAGUUAACAAGGGAACAGAAUCCAUGUCUGUGAUUGCUGGUUCUUGUGGUUACAUUGCACCAGAAUAUGCCUAUACUCUGAGGGUGAAUGAGAAGAGUGACAUCUAUAGUUUUGGAGUAGUCAUAUUGGAGUUGGUAACAGGCAGGCUGCCUAUAGAUCCAGAAUUUGGAGAGAAAGACUUGGUGAAAUGGGUUUACUCCACCUUAGACCAAAAAGGAGUGGAUCAAGUAAUUGAUCCCAAACUUGAUUCCAGUUUCAAGGAUGAAAUUUGCAGGGUUCUUGAUGUUGGUCUUCGCUGCACUAGCUCUCUUCCCAUCAGCCGGCCUUCAAUGCGGAGGGUGGUGAACAUGCUGCAAGAGGCAGGUGUAGAAAGCAAGCUUAAAUCCAGCAAGAAGGAUGGGAAGCUCUCUCCGUAUUACCAUGAAGAAGCCUCCGAUGAAGUGCAGUUGAGAAUAGAGAGUUAAUUGGUGGUGAAUUUUCAUUACUGCCUCUUGAUGAUGUUUGAUUUCAUAGGGCAAAGGGAAUGAUUGAUGAAAUGACAGGAGAUAGAUCUCUCCACAUGCUCUCUUUGAAAAUUAUAGCCUACAUUUAAGACCACAGAUUAAGACAAGAAAAAGCUUGCAAUUAUUGGUGCCUGCUAUUUUAGUUGCUGUCUUCCUCUUUAAUUAGGUAAUUGUAACAUGGAAAAACAUGGGACUUGUCAAGAAAUGAACCGGACAUUUCCAUUUAGCAAUAGUUGUUAUACAUCAGUAUCAUCAAUACAAAAUUUAGAAAGC
rnacentral:misc_RNA from 1 species